GCCCUCGUGGACCAUGGUGGUUGCCUCGAUCACAAAUAUUUGCAAGCAGGAAUAGGGGGUUCGAUUCCCUCCGAGGGCA